ACUUGGUACAAGUGAAAAAAGGAUGCAUUUGCACAGGCAUUCAACAUUCCAUCCUGUUUCAUCACGAUCCUACAACAUAUUAUCUCCCCAUUUUAUAGAUGAGAAAAUUGAAGUUCACAGAGGCCAACCCUCUUAAUACGUAGAAGAGCAGCGUACAAGCUCCACUCUAUGACUCCAGAGCCUGAUAACCUAACUACUAUGCUUCCUGGCUUAGCACUUGCUGGGACUUUCCACAGAAGACUAUCAUUCCCUGAACUCAGUGCUGGAAAAUCAAUUGUGUGACCCAUUUCACCAAGCCAUGGACUCGCAGAGCUUUGUUUCUGUCCCAUUUGACUGAGCAAUGCUUAUGCUGGAUUGCAAAGGUGGAACACACUCCCUGGUUCCUCAGAAUAGCCACUCCUCUUUGCUCCAACAACAUUGGCUCUUUUGCUGCUGGACUAGCCCAGCAAAUGUGUCGAUGAGAAGUUAUGUGUCUGCUACCCAUGGGAAAAGGACAUCUCCACGUUUCUAAAAAAAUAGCAGUUUUCAGCUUUCUCCUCUGGUAAGGCAGAGUAGGGGAGAACUGGAGC
rnacentral:lncRNA from 10 species